GUGCCAGCGGCCGCGGUAAUACGGAGGGUGCAAGCGAUGUCCGGAAUCACUGGGUGUAAAGGGUGUGCAGGCGGGGCAGCAAGUCGGAGGUGAAAGUCCAUGGCUUAACCAUGGAAGUGCCUUCGAAACUGUUGCUCUUGAGUCCCGGAGAGGUUGCCUGAAUUCGUGGUGUAGCGGUGAAAUGCGUAGAUAUCACGAGGAACACCAGAGGCGAAAGCGGGCAACUGGACGGGUACUGACGCUCAGGCACGAAAGCGCGGGGAGCAAACAGGAUUAGAAACCCUGGUAGUCC
rnacentral:rRNA from 1 species